CAAAGGAGUUUGAACUCCUGAAUAGAAAACGAAGCCUCUGCUCACCUUACCACCCUCAAACGAAUGGUUUGGUGGAAAGAAUGAAUGGCACCAUACAGAGAGCUCUAAGCAAACUUUGCCAGCAGAAGCCAGAGACCUGGGACACAUCUGGACGCGGUUAUUUUUGGGUUUAGGACAAAAAAAAAGUUGACCACACGUCAUUUACCAUAUUUUAUCAUGUUUGGACGAGAGGCCCGCUACCCCUCUGAAGUUCCAGAAUCUUAUGAGGGUUGCUCUUGGAAGACCUGGAUCUCCGGCCCCAGCUGUGGUCAGUCGAGGAUCUCCGGCCCCAGCUGUGGUCAGACGAGGAUCUCCGGCCCCAGCUGUGGUCAGACGAGGAUCUCCGGCCCCAGCUGUGGACAGUCCAGUUAUUCUUGAGAAAUGUAAUAAAUGCAUAUAUAACAGCACUGGUGAGGAGAUUUAAUCUUGAAGGGGACGAAAAAGCCUUCCUCAUUGAAUCAUUCACCAUGAGCAAAAUAUGGCGGGGCUCAUAUCAAACACUGAGAGCUUGAUCCCAGCAAGUACAGUUUGAUUUUGGGCAUUAUAAAUGAACAUCACCACUGGACACUUGCUGUUCUGUAUCCAUCCCAAAAGAAGACUAUUUUCUUGGAUCCACUGGGAGUCCAAAGAAAGUGAGGAAGUGCCUUGAGACAACAAGUUUGCAGAGGAUGUUCUUGAAGGCAGACAGAGCAACUUUUCCCCCCGAAGGGAGUCCAUUGCCGUUAUCUGAAAGGAAAUGGCAAUCGGCCUUCUUAAGGAAUCAGGUAUAAAGGGUAAUAGUACAGUAUUCGAGUUAAUACCGAAGGCACUGAUGAUGCACUUGUAAUAUUCUAAGCUCUUUUUACUGCACAGAUUAAUUUUGGGCCUGGAUCAUGAAGCUGCCUUUAAGUUGGGUUUAGCUUAAAUUCUCACAAUUGACAAUACAGUAAUAGUUCAGUGAGCUUGUUAAAUCUAGCCAGGUUUAUUGCAUUAAAAUUGAUCACUUAAUUGCACUUUGUUGGGUGAGCAGCAGUGUUGUCGUGUUAAUCUUGUAUUGUACAUGGUACAGUAGUUAUGUUUCAUGAUAAAAAAAAAUGUGCAGCUAAACAUUUAAAAUGACUGGUAAAUACAUACAUGAACAAACUACUUCAUCUACAGUAGUGAAACAGUCUGGUGGUGGAGUUUCUAACUAUUUCUAACUUACAUGUGAGACUGCAAUGUCUGGGGGCCACUAAAGUUGCUGUUUUCAGGAAUGAAUAGUUGAUACAGUCUCGAAUGUUUAAAGAAAAACAAAUGGACUUAUGAUGGAUUUACUCAUUUAUAAGAUGGGAGGUAGAGGAUAAAUUAUAGAGAACAGGUAAGAGUACCUGAGAUGUACCUAUUAGUGCACGUUCUAAAAUAUGCACCCAAAUAUGAUUAUUGCACAGAUGAUCUGAGCAGUCUGUGUCUGUUUUGUGGAGAGCAGGACACUCUGGGGGAUGCAGUGUCACAAGAUGAAUGGGUAAUUUAGUAGUGAACACUUUAGUUGUAUUUUUAAACUUUUUCAACUGCAACUCCAAACAUCUUCUAAUCAAAAUUAAAAAUAAAUAAAUACAGAAAUAGAAAAGUUUAUGCAAAUUAAAUGUCCAUGGUUUCCAUACUUCGUUAUGAUUUCCUAAUUAAACUCUCUACACUGCAUUAGUUUUUCUGCACCCUCUACUUUCCUUUGUAUUUUUCAGAUUGCGUGCGAUGGCUGCAGCAGGUGGUUCCUCCACACAUGUGUUUCACGGCCAUCAACUAAGGUCAGCUUUUGUGCAGCAUGCACAAUGUGAGGACACACAGAUGCUUCAUUUCCACUGCAGGCGCAACUGGGCCAGCCGCGCAAGAGCCGUGCCCCCGCCAGUAAAAUUACUAGAAACGUCUCCAGUGGCGGGCCUCCCUAACCAAAGCUGUUGUAGCCUACUCGAGUCUCAGCUAAUGCUACCGUGGAACACAGAGAAGACGGCUUUGGGACUUUUUUAUUGUUAUAAACUUUUCUUAUUGAUUGCUGCUGUUAGACAAUUACAUUACCUUUGCUGCUGUAACCAUUUCCAACGUUACUGAUAUUGAUAUAGUUAGCUGGUUAUUGCUGUAGCCGAACCUAUAUUUAAGUUGUGAUAGUUACUGCUGUUAUGGAUAUAGCUAUUUGUCCAUUGUUGCUAUUGCUGUAGCUAAAUCUAUAUUUGAAUUGUGAUAAUCAUUGUGAAUACUGCUGCUACUGAUCCAGCUAUUGUUAUUGCGACCAAUAUUUAGUUAUGUUUUGUAUAUGUGCUUGGCCA